GCAAACUUGGUCAUUUAGAGGAAGUAAAAGUCGUAACAAGGUCUCCGUUGGUGAACCAGCGGAGGGAUCAUUCAAGAACGCCCGCGCGCGCCGAAAGGCGCCGCGGUACGCUCAGCCCCUGUGAACCGUCUACCUUUAAACGUUGCCUUGGCGGGGUGCGGGCCCUAGCGGUCCCCCCGCCAAAGGCCCACAACACGCUCUAGCCACCGCGGCCACUUUCUGAUUUAAUAUUUAUACAAAAUAAAUAAAACUUUCAACAACGGAUCUCUUGGCUCCAGCAUCGAUGAAGAACGCAGC
rnacentral:misc_RNA from 1 species